rnacentral:rRNA from 1 species
AUACGUAGGGGGCGAGCGUUGUCCGGAAUGAUUGGGCGUAAAGGGCGCGUAGGCGGCCCGGUAAGUCUGGAGUGAAAGUCCUGUUUUUAAGAUGGGAAUUGCUUUGGAUACUGUCGGGCUUGAGUGCAGGAGAGGUAAGUGGAAUUCCCAGUCUAGCGGUGAAAUGCGUAGAGAUUGGGAGGAACACCAGUGGCGAAGGCGACUUACUGGACUGUAACUGACGCUGAGGCGCGAAAGUGUGGGGAGCAAACAGGAUUAGAUACCCUGGUAGUCCACGCGGUAAACGAUGAAUGCUAGGUGUUGCGGGUAUCGACCCCUGCAGUGCCGGAGUCAACACAAUAAGCAUUCCGCCUGGGGAGUACGGCCGUAAGGUUGAAACUCAAAUGAAUUGACGGGG